rnacentral:rRNA from 1 species
GAUGAACGCUGGCGGCGUGCCUAAUACAUGCAAGUCGAGCGAACAGACGAGGAGCUUGCUCCUCUGACGUUAGCGGCGGACGGGUGAGUAACACGUGGAUAACCUACCUAUAAGACUGGGAUAACUUCGGGAAACCGGAGCUAAUACCGGAUAAUAUAUUAAACCGCAGGGUUCAAUAGUGAAAGACGGUUUUGCUGUCACUUAUAAAUGGAUCCGCGCCGCAUUAGCUAGUUGGUAAGGUAACGGCUUACCAAGGCAACGAUGCGUAGCCGACCUGAGAGGGUGAUCGGCCACACUGGAACUGAGACACGGUCCAGACUCCUACGGGAGGCAGCAGUAGGGAAUCUUCCGCAAUGGGCGAAAGCCUGACGGAGCAACGCCGCGUGAGUGAUGAAGGUCUUCGGAUCGUAAAACUCUGUUAUUAGGGAAGAACAAAUGUGUAAGUAACUAUGCACGUCUUGACGGUACCUAAUCAGAAAGCCACGGCUAACUACGUG